UCUCUCUCUUCCCCCUCAGUCUCUUCUGGUUCUCUUUUCAUUUCUUCCUUUUUUUCGUCAUUCUCUCUCUUUUUCUUUUCCUUUGUCAUCUUCCUCUUCCUCAGGCAACAAGACUAAUAAGUGAACCACAAAAUCCAUUUGGGUGUUUCUGCCUUCCUGCUCAUAAACUUUGACAGUGGAAUUAGCACAUGAAGAGGUGGAGAAAGUUGGGCUUUUUCCUCUUCAACAUUGCUGCAAUACUCUAAGAUAUGCUCUAUGCCAUCAAAUGUUGGAUCUGUUUUUGAUAGUUCUGUGUGUAUUUAGUUGCUGGGUUUCCAGCCACAAAUGACCAAAAGCAUUGCGUGGAAUAUACUUGGCAAUGGAUGGACUAAAAUUGUUAGAGUUGUUAUAGGCAGCCUUCAAGCAUGACAGUGGAAGGGUGCACAAAGAGAAGCACCAAAGAUGGUGAUAAAUCCACACUGGUACAGGCGGUUAACAAAACCUGAGCUGCUUCAAUUUUUCAAAUUCGCUCGGUUAAAGAACAAUUGUUACUCAAAUUGAUGUUAAUUCAGAAAUAGUAACUAUGAUGAUAUGAAAGCAAGUAUUAUGAUAUGAAAUAGUUAUUAAUUAGUA